rnacentral:rRNA from 1 species
UACGUAGGGGGCGAGCGUUGUCCGGAUUUACUGGGCGUAAAGGGCUUGUAGGCGGUUCGUUAAGUCUGGUGUGAAAUCUCCCGGCUCAACCGGGAGGGGUCAUCGGAUACUGGCGGACUAGAGACAGGUAGAGGAAAGCAGAAUUCCCGGUGUAGCGGUGAAAUGCGUAGAUAUCGGGAGGAAUACCAGUGGCGAAGGCGGCUUUCUGGGCCUGUUCUGACGCUGAGGAGCGAAAGCGUGGGGAGCAAACCGG